rnacentral:lncRNA from 1 species
CAUCGGUUCAAGUUUCUCCUCGCCGUACGUGAGAGCGCUUUCUUACAUGUAAAAUGGUCAGCUGAACUGAUGUACUUUUUCUUUUUUGUUUCAGUAUAUUGGGUCCUUAGAUGUACCAAGGCCAAUCACCAGGGUCGAAAUAGUAGCUGCAAUGAGAAGAAUCCGUUAUGAGUUCAAAUCAAAAGGCAUCAAAAAGAAAAAAGUAACCCUAGAAGUAUCGACGGAUGGUGUGAAAGUAACCUUACGAAAAAGAAAAAGAAAAAACAGUGGAUGGAUGAAAAUAAUAUAAUAUUAAUGCAACACCCAAUUUAUAGGUAAGUUCUGAAAAUACAUAAGCGUUUACAGUUUUUAAUUUCACUGGGAGAUCGUCCAAUAAACCGUGCGCGGCUUUCUUUUUAAUUUCGAUCUUGAAGAACAAGUCCAGAAGUCAGCGGCAGAUAUGUUGUAUUCCAGAGAUCGCAUCAAGUUUUUGCUGAUUUGUCGUGGUUUUUAACGACAAAAGAACCUCUGACGGCUCAAAACGUCCCAAAUUUCCGGUUUUUUUUUUUUUUUUUUUAGAAAGUUUUCUAGCCUUAUGUACUCAUGCCUUCAGUGUGUUAUCCUCAUGUCUUGUUUGGUUUUAUUUUUAUUUUAUUAAGUUUCAAGUUAAAUCAAAUUGAUAAUUUUCAAUAUUAUUAUUGAACUUAGUGAGUUCAAAUUUUCAUUAAUCCUUGAAUCACCCUGUAUCUGAAGAGGCACAAGAACAUUUGUUGAGCAAAUUAAUGGCUCGAGAUGAGAGUUGAACGCAGGAAAGUUAAUGAACCAUAUUAGAGGGAGUUUGUAAAACAAAUCGCGGCCUUGCUUUUUUCCAGUGGGAGCUGUUUUGAUCGAUGGUCUGCUAUUUUCAUUAAUCCAUUGACGUCAUCAAUUACAGAUUUAUCUCUUUGAAAGCUUCCGCUUAAAUGAAGCUUGAGAAUUAUUUUGCGGUCGAUCAAAUGUUUAAAGUCAGUUUCCUCUCGUAAUCGUUGUAAUUCAUCGUUUGAUCUUCUGAUAGUUCUGCAAUUCGUUCUUAAAUUGACGCUAAAGGCAGCAUAAUGAUUAAACGUUUACUUCAGUUACUUCCGGUUCUGAAAUAAUACAAGUGCAGGAUUACAACUGUCAAGAGAAACUUUGAAAAUGACAGGGAAUUUUUUAGUUCGGUGUGCAGUAUCAGGAAUCGGAUUGAAAUGUUGUCUGAUCAUGUGGUAACAUAGAUUUAGUUUUCGUAGAUGUUCGGAAAUGUUGGCGUUUGUGGUCAAGAAUGGUGAAACCAGAAAAGACAUUCUAGUGGCUUUCGACUUUGGGAAGCGAAAUUUUAUUUUGAUAGAGCUAGGUAAAGUCAUAGAAAUUUGGCGCGCAUAGUCAGGGAUUCUAGUUCUGGCAUUUGAUUUUUGUUAACGGGUAACCAGGAAAUGAUAGGGAAGUUUUAAAUUGGUAGUUGGGGAUUUGAUGGAGAUUAGAUCAAGAAAAUUCUGGACAAAUUUAUUGCAUCGGUGGAUGAGCAUAGUGAGUGGGCCAGUCCGUUGAGAAAAAUUGGACCGCGUCAAGCAGAAAGGAACCAAUCCACAUCAGUUACUGCCAACUUUAAUUCUGCACUGGAAGUUUUUACAUGAACACGGUCGUGAGGAUUUUCGUGCUUUCAGUGAAUUCUCUGCACAGUACGAAGCAAAUUCCUCGAAAAUUUCAAAGAAAUCCGCCCAAACGGUCUCUUAUAAAACAUUAAAUUGCCAAGUUAAUCUUAACAAUAGCUGAUCUAGCUUGGUUCCUUUCAGCUUCAGUGGCGUGGCGUGAAUUAUCGAUUAUCGAUAUCUCGCCAUUUAAAGCUAUGGUAAAGAAUCGAUUACUGAGGUGUUCGCUAAGGACACCCUGAUAAUCGAUCUUUUUUCAUAGAUUUAAGUGGCACAACAAUCGAUAUAUCGCAAAGCACGCCACGCCACUGUUCAGCUUGACGUGGUCCAAUUAUAUGUAUAACCGCACGGACUGUAAAUGGAUCUGGGUCUGCCCCUUCAGUCCCCCUGCAGACUUUUUUAGCAAUGCUAAUUUAACGAAAUUGAAGUUUCGAUGAACUUUGAUAGUAUCCUCAAUAAAUUAACAGUCAAUUUUCUCGGCGUUCGUGCUGGUAAAAAAGAAGGGAUUACAGUUGCAACAUGAAUGUAUAAUUGGAUGAAAUUCCUUUUUGCUGAGAAUAUCUCACGGAAUUUCAUCGUGUUUUUUAUGGGCUGAUUAUGUAACUCACAACCAUAAAGUACAAAAGAGUUGCAGUGUACUGUAGCGCCGAUAAAGUCAAUCCCAGAACGAUGCAUUUGUAGCCUCUUGUUCGCCCGAAGUGGGAACCAUAGGGCAUUUUUCAACACGGCGCUUUGAGGAAGAAUUGCGGACCGUGAGUGGUUUUUGGGAUUUAUUGAUUUAUAUCAGUGACUAUUUUAGCGAAUCUUGACAAGUUAUGUCGACCGAAGGCAUGAAAAAUUAAAAAUGCACGAAACUUCCAGUUUUUUUUCUAAAAUACAUUUCAUACGUGUAUCUUCAGUGCGGAGCCCGUAGCUGGGGCCCUGCGCAUACCUGGGCGGACGGCCAGCGCGUUGGCGCCUACAAACCUAAAGG